CACGCCGUAAACGAUGGAUACUAGCUGUUCGGAGCAAUCUGAGUGGCUAAGCGAAAGUGAUAAGUAUCCCACCUGGGGAGUACGCACGCAAGUGUGAAACUCAAAGGAAUUGACGGGGGCCCGCACAAGCGGUGGAGCAUGUGGUUUAAUUCGAUGAUACGCGAGGAACCUUACCAGGGCUUAAAUGUAGAUUGACAGGACUGGAAACAGUUUUUUCUUCGGACAAUUUACAAGGUGC
rnacentral:rRNA from 2 species